rnacentral:antisense_RNA from 1 species
GUUUUCCGUGCAGCCGAUUGGGGUUUUGGGCGCUCGGAGCAGCGUCUAAAAGGGCUCACUCUGAUCAUCAGCUGCACGUUAAGCCGCAAACCGGCGUCGCUUCGGCGUUCCGGAACCUAGGCCCGGGGGCUGCGGGGAUUGCCUCUGCGUGCAACUCCGGAAAGUUUCAAGGGGUCCCCCGACUGCACAGGCACCCUCACCUUUCCUGCCUGCGAACGCUGGCGACCGCCCGACCCUGCCCUCUUUCUCCGCAGGUCCGGAAAUCGGCUUCGAUAUGGAACUACUCCGCUCUAGCCUAGAAAGGAGACCCGCGCACUCCUCUCGCAGCUAAUUUCGGAUCAUUAAUUUAAUCGGAAAUGAGGUAACCAGUGUAGGAGACAGAGAAAGCAACCGGAGCAUCAAAUGGCAGUUCUCGAGAAUCGACGAGGAACUUAAAUCUGGACUCACGGUUUCAGUGCGGUCUCCGACUCCCACCACCCCGCCCUUCCGCCUGUCCCGCCGCCAGGUGUGACCUCCCCACGCGAAGGAAUCUUCUUCGGAUGGGUGCACCUUGCCAA